rnacentral:rRNA from 1 species
AUUGAACGCUGGCGGCAUGCCUUACACAUGCAAGUCGAACGGCAGCGGACCUUCGGGUGCCGGCGAGUGGCGAACGGGUGAGUAAUAUAUCGGAACGUACCUUUCAGUGGGGGAUAACGUAGCGAAAGUUACGCUAAUACCGCAUAUUCUGUGAGCAGGAAAGCAGGGGGAUCGCAAGACCUUGCGCUGAUUGAGCGGCCGAUAUCAGAUUAGCUAGUUGGUGAGGUAAAGGCUCACCAAGGCGACGAUCUGUAGCGGGUCUGAGAGGAUGAUCCGCCACACUGGAACUGAGACACGGUCCAGACUCCUACGGGAGGCAGCAGUGGGGAAUUUUGGACAAUGGGCGCAAGCCUGAUCCAGCCAUGCCGCGUGAGUGAAGAAGGCCUGGUU